rnacentral:rRNA from 1 species
GUGCGUAACGCGUAACCAACCUGCCCUUGACUGGGGGAUAGCCCGCCGAAAGGCGGAUUAAUACCGCAUAAACUAGCAACUCGGCAUCGGGUAACUAGUAAAGAUUUAUUGGUCAAGGAUGGGGUUGCGUGACAUUAGCUAGUUGGCGGGGUAAGGGCCCACCAAGGCGACGAUGUCUAGGGGACCUGAGAGGGUGAUCCCCCACACUGGCACUGAGAUACGGGCCAGACUCCUACGGGAGGCAGCAGUAGGGAAUAUUGGGCAAUGGACGAGAGUCUGACCCAGCCAUGCCGCGUGCCGGAUGAAGGCCUUCUGGGUUGUAAACGGCUUUUCUCAGGGAAGAAAACGACCAUGCGUGGUACACUGACGGUACCUGAGGAAUAAGCACCGGCUAACUCCGUGCCAGCAGCCGCGGUAAUACGGAGGGUGCAAGCGUUGUCCGGAUUUAUUGGGUUUAAAGGGUGCGUAGGCGGCCCGUUAAGUCCGGGGUGAAAGCCCACUGCUCAACAGUGGAACUGCCCUGGAUACUGGCGGGCUUGAGUCCAGACGAGGUUGGCGGAAUGGAUGCUGUAGCGGUGAAAUGCAUAGAUAGCAUCCAGAACCCCGAUUGCGAA